rnacentral:rRNA from 1 species
UAACGCGUGGGUAACCUGCCUUAUAGUGGGGGAGUAGCCUUUCGAAAGGAAGAUAAUACGCAUAAGAUUGUAGUAUCGCAUGAUAUAGCAAUUAAAGGAGCAAUUCGCUAUAAGAUGGACCCGCGUCGCAUUAGCUAGUUGGUGAGGUAAUGGCUCACCAAGGCGACGAUGCGUAGCCGACCUGAGAGGGUGAUCGGCCACAUUGGGACUGAGACACGGCCCAGACUCCUACGGGAGGCAGCAUG